rnacentral:rRNA from 1 species
AGUGAACGCUGGCGGUAGGCCUAACACAUGCAAGUCGAACGGCAGCACAGUAAGAGCUUGCUCUUACGGGUGGCGAGUGGCGGACGGGUGAGGAAUACAUCGGAAUCUACUUUUUCGUGGGGGAUAACGUAGGGAAACUUACGCUAAUACCGCAUACGACCUACGGGUGAAAGCAGGGGAUCUUCGGACCUUGCGCGAUUGAAUGAGCCGAUGUCGGAUUAGCUAGUUGGCGGGGUAAAGGCCCACCAAGGCGACGAUCCGUAGCUGGUCUGAGAGGAUGAUCAGCCACACUGGAACUGAGACACGGUCCAGACUCCUACGGGAGGCAGCAGUGGGGAAUAUUGGACAAUGGGCGCAAGCCUGAUCCAGCCAUACCGCGUGGGUGAAGAAGGCCUUCGGGUUGUAAAGCCCUUUUGUUGGGGAAGAAAAGCAGCAGGUUAAUACCCCGCUGUCUGACGGUACCCAAAGAAUAAGCACCGGCUAACUUCGUG